CAGCGCCGCGGGAAUACGGAGGAUCCAAGCGUUAUCCGGAUUUAUUGGGUUUAAAGGGUGCGUAGGUGGCCUGUUAAGUCAGGGGUGAAAGACGGUAGCUUAACUAUCGCAGUGCCCUUGAUACUGAUGGGCUUGAAUGAACUAGAGGUAGGCGGAAUGUGACAAGUAGCGGUGAAAUGCAUAGAUAUGUCACAAAACACCAAUUGCGAAGGCAGCUUACUAUGGUUUUAUUGACACUGAGGCACGAAAGCGUGGGGAUCAAACAGGAUUAGAUACCCCUGUAGUCCCUGUCUCUUAUACC
rnacentral:rRNA from 1 species